rnacentral:lncRNA from 1 species
AUAGACAGUGUCUUCCUUGCUCAACAAGGCCUCGAGGCUUUUUUCCUGUAUUUCUGAGGGCCUAACCCUUCUCCCAGGGCAGAGUUGAGAGGCUUAUAUGAGAGGUUUCUGGAAGGGCAGGCUCAGUAUCUGACACUGACAGUGUCUCUUGGCCUGGGAUCGCCUGAGGGCCCUGUGAAGCUUCAGAGCAGUGCCUGAAACACUCUGAGGACAGAAACUCAGGGACCAACACACCUGUUUCCACAGAGCUGGCCCCUGCCUCUGCUUCCUGGAAGCACUGCAAGAGUGCCUGCAGUUAUAGCCGGGAGAUGACCACAGUGAGAAGCCAGAGAAGAGGUAAACAGCAACCUUGGGCAAGCAGGAAGGCAGAAGCAGAUGCUUGGAACCACCCAGAGGUUUUCUACCACAGAAUGUGUAACUUUGAUUUUCACACACAAAAUGGUCUCAACAGUGGUUGAAAUAUACAAAAACAGAAACCCCAAUCCAGCCCUUAGCCUGAUGCUCUGCAUGCUGUUAAGAAGGGGGUGUUGAAUGAUUCCAUUUAUUUGAAAUACCCAGGAGAGGGAGAAGGUUCAUUUGAGAACUUCCCCUGCUGAAGCUUUCCCUGACCCUCUGGGAGGGGCCGGACCCUCCGUCUGUGGUCCCACAACCCCUGAGGAGGAGGAGGCACUCAUCAGGUCCCUUGGCGCCUUGCAGCCCUUUUCUUGGGCCUGCCUUUUACCUCCAUCCUCCACUCCACUGAUGGCUCAGAGCCCAGAAUCCUGUCUUCAUCCUGGCAACAGUCCCUUCAGGGCCCAGCAGGAUGGGGGAAUGAAUAAAUGUGCCUGUUUCUGAACAUAAUCAUUAAAUUCUUUACCUGUAAUGUGGACAUUAAAGGUGAAUCAUUUCCCCCCUUA